CGUCGGGCUCCCGGUGCAUGGAGCCUGCUUCUCCCUCUGCCUGUGUCUCNGUUUUUCCUAUUCAUGACUCAUUUUGCUCUUUGGCUAACACUCAGGCAAAUGUAGUGACAACUUAGUUUUCUUCUUCCUCUGAAAGCUUGUACACAUUUUCUGCCUCGGGUUGUGUCCACGAGGAUGCCUGGAGAAUGUUGACAAAGGAAAGGUUAGACUAGCCUGUUGAUGCUGCGUAUUUGGGCUUUAAAAAUCAAAAAGGUUCCUUGGCUUCCUCGGAGAAGCAUUCUGCUUGAUGGCCCAGAAUACUGAUCCAGUAAAAAAGACAUGUUCCAGCCAUCCUUCACACACACCUUAAGUGAAAUUAAUGAGAUCACUCUACAAUUACGCUUUGUGUUUUAUUUUCACUUUCCAGGUCUGUAUGAGCUGUUGGCUCUUGUGCCAGGCCAGCUAGGGCCACGUGUGGACAGCCAGGAAGACCUGACCUUCCUCUUGGAUAUGUUUGGUGAGAAAAGCCUGCAUUCACUGGUAAAGGGCGAAUUAGAAACUUCACUCAAGUCCUGGGCUCUCGCUCCGAACGGACUUCUUGCCACUCAACCCUCACCUGCUACAUUCCAACCAUUUCUACUUUGCACAUGAUGAUUGCUUCUACUCCAAACAUUCUCACUGUGGGUUUUUCCUUCCCCCGCGAUGGCACUCCCUCCUAGUCUGCCUGGCUGCUCCAAGUCAACAUUUCAGUUUUAAUGGAACCAUCUCUUCUGGGAAGGCAUAGCUCUUGUCUUAGAGCUUUUUGUGCUCUUUGAGUCAGCAUUAGAUUAGAUUAAAUUAGAUUUUCUUGCAAUUUCCUCUUGUACCCCAUAUUUCCCUAGUUUUAACAUUGUAUUUCAUUUAACUACUUAUUAAUUGUCUGUACUUCCAAAUAGAUUGUGAACUCUAUGAGGGCAGUUGGCUAUAUUUUCUCUUGGCUACUGUGUCAAAGUAAUCAACACAGUGCUCACAGUGCUUAGUGACUUCAAAUAAAUAUUUGCUAAAUAAAAUGUGAAAAAUUGAC
rnacentral:lncRNA from 1 species